GCGCGAUGCGAACACAGCGCAGAUCCUGUACCAAGUAACGUGUGUACAACAAGUGGAAAGCCGGAGCGCGCCAACACCCAGAGUGCUCGCGUGCACGACAACUUUUAUUUUAAUGGAUGUCAGUGCCAUUGCUAAGGGAGAAUCUGCAUAAUUUCUAUUUUGUUUUAAUCCUACCAGCAAACCAGUAAUCGGAAUGUUUUCCCGCGUUGCAAGAUCACCUGCAAGCAUCGCUCGAAGCUUUUGCACUUCUUCCCAGAACAAUGCCAAGGUGGCAGUGUUGGAUGCGUCCAGGGGCAUCGGCCAGCCCCUGUCACUGCUCCUGAAGAAGAGUCCCCUGGUCACACAAUAAUAGGACACAAGUAAAUGAUUAGAUUACAAGUGAAAUCGCUCAGUGUAAGGUAUUUUUUUGCUAUGCAAUUGCUAAGCGAUCUAACUCUGUCUCUGUUUCAGGUCUGUACCGCCCGACUUUUCCUGCCUCAUCUUCCCGCGCCUCCAGAACCUUCCCACUCCCGUCCGACCUAACCCCGUUCCUCCCUCGUGGGUCUAACUCCUGUCUUCCGUCUGUUUAAGGAUUGACCUUUUGGCUUCCUGACCUGCCUGCUCCCGGCUCAUCGACAACUCAUUUGGAUCACGAUCAUUGUUUUGGCACUUGGUACCGACUGAUCUCUGGCUUUGACCCUGCCUGUUCGUUGGACCACGAAUUGGCUUUCGUUAAUAAAUGGAUUUUGGUGAAGUACCCUGAGUGUCCUGAUGUGUGAGAUCCGAGGCAGACAAUGAGGGAGAUGCUGCUGAAACUGGGUACCAGAUGUGGGAGUUCUGUCCUCUUUGAGAUCCCAGAGACCAGCAUCAAGGCAUUCAAGAAGCAAGAUGAUCGACCUUCAUGUGAACAGUUGGGUGAAGGGCAGCCCCACAGAAAGUCCUUCCUAUACAGAACAAGAUCCCCCCCCUCCCCCCACCAGCUGGUGGACCAUCCAGUAACAGAAAGUCUGUUAAGCCAAAUACUAUCUGGUGCAGUUUUGCAGCUGUCCUUCUGCUACAGGAGUUUUAUGUGAUAGAGCUUUAUAAUAUGUAUUUUACUGUCUGUCCUGGGCUCCAAGUAAAUGCCUCAUAGUAAAUAUUAAUUUCAUAGAACAGAGAUUUGUUGUCAUGUUGUCACGAUAUACCACACUUUGUAUUUUGAGAGGGACUUACCUCUGAGUUGUUUCCCAAAGAGGUUCAGGAUGUUAUCUGGCCAGCAGUUGUAUGACAACCAAGGAACAUCUUAAAUCAAUACUGUAAAGCAGUGUCUCCCAACCCAGUCCUCUGGGACCCACAGCAGUCCAUGUUUUCCCUCCCUGCCAGACAAUCCACAUUUUUGGCCCAGGGAGCUGGGAGGGAGAAAAAAUGUGGACUGUCUGUGCGUCCCAAGGACCGGACUGGGAAACAUUGCAAUAAAGGAUGAAUGUAUUCAUACCGCGCAUGUGUGUGUGUGUGUGUGUGUGUGUGUGUUACAGGUAUACCAUAUGUUGUGGGGACCCACAAUGAGAUAAAAACCUGUUAUUUUUAAGUUGUGGGGACCAGUCCCCUUAAGGAUAACCUCAGUAUAAUAAAAAUCAGUGACUAAA